UCCCCUCAGGUAUACCUUCUAGGACUGACAUGUCCACGGGUUUAUCUCACUCGUGCUGCGAGUCCUCUCACAGUGCAAGGGGCAGCUUGCUGCUACAGCAGCGACCCAAUGCCCAGUCCUGCAGGCAUUAGAAGAUGAUGUUGAAGCAAUGACGGAUGAUCCUGUUUUCUGGGACAUUGAUUUUACGGAAAUCCAUGGGUGACAGAAAAGGAUGGCGAGAGCAGUACUUCGUCUGGUUCUCACCAUGCUCAGACGGAUGCUCAGACUGAUAAGCACAAGAC